UGUCCCUCCCCUGUGCAUGCAUGUGCUCUCGCACACUCUCUCUCUCUGAAAAUAAGUUAAAAAUAAAUGAACUUAAAAUUUCAGUCAUGAAGGUUGAUGUUACUGAGGUGUACUUAAGGCAGGUUAGAAAUACCAGUUUAUAUUUCUUGUAUUUUUUCUUGAAACUUAAUUGGGUUGAGGUCAAAGUUGGAAAAGCAUGUUUAGCAAAGCAUCUAGUUUGCAAGUUAGAAUGGGUCCAUCUUGUUUCUUACCCUCUUUUUUUUUAUUAGUCUUCCUCACUUUUUAUUCUCAGAUACUCAGUCUUUUGUAUGCACAUUCUAUUUUUUUUCAGUCCUUCCGAGUUUUGCUUUUUGUCCUAAAUUCCAUUGUUUCUCCCUGUCACUGCCUUCACCAUCUCUUUGCUUACCAAGGAGAUUUCUCAAGCUGCUUUUGUUCUGGUCCUUUUCCUUCUCUGGGGCCGUUUUAUCUCCUUAGUCUACCUUUUUUAAUCACUUUUCUGCUCAGGUGUGUUCCUUUUGCCACAGUUAACAUUUUCUUGUUAACUGAUUUAUUAUCACCGUUUGGUUCUGCUCCUGCUCUGCCUUGGUGUGACUGCUGACGGGACUGUCAGAGCCACCUGUAUAUGUCCUACAAACCUCUAAGGGGUAGUCACUUAGAUGUGUCGUUUUGUUAGAAUUAUGAAUCACAAUUUUGUUCUUGUUUCGAAGCACGUGAAAUACAGCGGAUAGGAAUAAAACAAAUUGUAUAAUGAGGCAUUGAAAGAUGCAGUGUUUUAACGGUUCUAAACUAAAUGGUUACUGAUCAAAUUGUUUUCUAUUGCUGCAUAAUAAAUUACCCCCCACAUUAGCAGCUUAAGAUGGUCGUGUGUUUUGUGGUUUCUGAGGGUCCAGGAGUGAGGAGUGGCUCAGUUGGGUGGUUCUGGCUCUGGAUGUCUCAUUAUGUUGUCCUAAGGGUGCCAGGUCUGUAGUCCUUUCUCCAGGCCUAACUGGGGUUGGAGAAUCUAAUUCCAAGUUCACUCAAGUGGUUGUUGGCAGGCCUCUGUUCUUUGCACAUGUUUGGCCAGAGACUUCAGUGCCUCUCGCUAGGACUGCUUGCAAUAUGGUGGCUUGUUUGUCCCAGAGCGAGAGGUCCCAAGAGAGCAGGUAAUUGAGUGUUCAGAGUGAUAGAAGCACAUGUCAGAAGUGACAUGCCAUCCCUUCUCAUAUUCUUUAGGUCACACAGACCAUUUCACAGUGUGGAAGGUGACUACACAAGGGUAUGAAUACCAGGAGGCGGGUAGUUUUGGAGGCUGACUGCCAGUCUGCCCUCUGCCCCCUCCCCCCACAGUGAUUCAUGUUCCUCCCCCAUACAAAACGUACUCACCCCUUCCCAAGGAUUCCAGAAGUGUUAUCCCAUUACAGCAGCAUCUCAAAAUCCAGAAUCUCCUCUAAAUCACGGCCUGGUGUGGAUGAGGCUCUUCAGGUGUAGUUUCUUAAGUACAGCUGCUUGAAUAUAGUUUCUCUUGGUCUCAGAGACUAAAGAGAUGAUCUACCCAACCGACAACUAACAUCCAGCGGGGAGACAGGCAUAGGAGGACUGCUAUACACAUUCCUCGUCAAAGGGGAACAUGGGAGACACAUUCUGAAAUUGAACUGGCACGUGUUCGACUCUCUUGAUGAGGUCUCAAGGCCCAGGAUCCUUCUCCAUGGCUUUCAGCCCUACCCUCUGGGCUCUUGGCUGCGCUCUCUGUGAGUGAUCCUUAUUUUUAUGGGGGAAAGAAAGCACGUGUCUUACAUCCGAUUAGUUCUCUCUACUACUUGCCAGUAGCCUUUUGGCGGUUCAGAGACUUCAUUUUGUCCUCUCUCUGUCCCUUUCAGCUCAAGCUUGUAAUGUUUCUGCCUAUAUAUUUCUUUUAAAAACUUUGUGGGUCUUCAGUGAGUUUUGCUAGUUUCCAUUUCAUUGGUGAGAAGCCAUCGCACUCACAAAUUUCUGAAAUAAGGUGUUUUGUACCUUGGAUUUGUACUGAUACAGGGCCCUUGAUUAAGCUCAGUUGUGUGACCGACCUUGUGAGGCACACCCUUAAUUGAUAGUGCCUUUUCUCUGAAUGAAUAGUACCUUUGAUCUUUUUGAGUCUUAAGAGUUUACAGUCAUAUCCUUGAUUUCAUCUUUGGACCAUGCUUUCCUGGCAAUGCUCUGGAUUUACUGUUUGCUCAGAAGUCAUUUCUUUAUUUUAGUACCAUUUUACACCUUAGGAGACUGAAUUUUUAAAACUGUCAAGUCCUGGCUCCUUUUUAAUGGCCUUUACUUUGUCUCUUCUCUCAUAAACAGCAAGAAAAAAAA